GCUAGGGUUGCUGAGUGGCCAAAGGCAGCGGAUUGCAAAUCCGCCGGGUAUCCCUUCGUGAGUUCGAAUCUCACUCCUAGCUCCA
rnacentral:tRNA from 5 species